rnacentral:rRNA from 1 species
GACGAACGCUGGCGGCGUGCCUAAUACAUGCAAGUAGAACGCUGAAGGAGGAGCUUGCUUCUCUGGAUGAGUUGCGAACGGGUGAGUAACGCGUAGGUAACCUGCCUGGUAGCGGGGGAUAACUAUUGGAAACGAUAGCUAAUACCGCAUAAUAGUAGAUGUUGCAUGACAUUUGCUUAAAAGGUGCAAUUGCAUCACUACCAGAUGGACCUGCGUUGUAUUAGCUAGUUGGUGAGGUAACGGCUCACCAAGGCAACGAUACAUAGCCGACCUGAGAGGGUGAUCGGCCACACUGGGACUGAGACACGGCCCAGACUCCUACGGGAGGCAGCAGUAGGGAAUCUUCGGCAAUGGACGGAAGUCUGACCGAGCAACGCCGCGUGAGUGAAGAAGGGUUUCGGAUCGUAAAGCUCUGUUGUAAGAGAAGAACGAGUGUGGGAGUGGAAAGUUCACACUGUGACGGUAUCUUACCAGAAAGGGACGGCUAACUACGUG